AUGAGUAGCACAACCUGCACUAUCAUAUCCUGGAACGUUAGAGGUCUAAAUUUUCCUGCUAAACGUCAUGCUGUCCACGAAAGCUUAGCUGCUUGGAAACCAUCCACUGUCUGUCUCCAAGAGACGAAAAUUAGUAACUGGACUGAUACCCUAUCUAAGGAAAUUGGAGGUGCAACUCUAGACCAAGUAUGUCACCUGCCGGCCAACGGUUCUAGAGGAGGCAUCAGCAUUUUCUGGAAUAGCACUUUGGUGCAUCUUAGCAACUGCAUCGCCUCCCAGUUCUCCCUGACGGCUACUUUCAAUUCCCUGACGGAGGAUAAGGAAUUCUGCCUCACGUCUGUCUACGGCCCAACCGAUGACAACCUCAAAGAGGCCUUCCUUGAUGAGCUAUGCUCUGCUGCGCCUGUCUUCAGCCGCCCCUGGCUCGCCAUUGGAGAUUUUAACCUCAUCUAUGAAGCUAGGGAUAAAAACAACCUAAAUCUGAACCGACGUCUCAUGGGAAAGUUCAGAGCUGCGCUCAACAGAGCUGAGUUGUUUGAGAUU
rnacentral:rRNA from 1 species